UGGGAACUUAAGUUUUUUUCCCCAUUUAAAACUGACAAGGAAAGAAUAUUUACUUAUGAAAGAAUAACAUUCACCAUAUCAUCUCCCAAGGACUUUUUAUGUGUUUUCGAGAAACUCUAGUUUCCUGCACUGAUUUGCUUUCCUCUCUACAGGCAAAUAGAGAGCUCUGGGAGUGAUUUGCUUACAAAAUCACAAGUGAUUUCCACUCAUUUUCCCAGCAUCAGCACUCAGAAUACCCAGUUCUAAACAGGCUGCAGUGGUGUAUACCUCUCUCUUCCAGGUUGAGUUUCAAUGUUUCGUUACCAUGUGACUAUCAGCCCUGCAGGAGGUGGAGAGGCAUCAUCCACUCCCCAGAGAUGAUUGAAGAAUAACGUAACAGAAUUCUGGGAUAUGAGCAAGACUCCAGAAACACAAGUCUCCUGUGGAUUGUGGGAAAUCGCAAAGCAUUUCUUCUGAUAUUAUUUAAAACUCCAAACCUAAUGGGAGACAAACCAUAAAACUAAAUGUUACAGUCCAAAAGUAAUCUCCCUUUCCAACAGGAAAAAAAAAAGUCACAGUUCUAACUGAUAACAUACUUGCACUUUUUCCCAUAAACAAAUCUUCUUAUUCCUAAAUCUGAUGGUUGUAGAUUAUUCUAUUCCUU
rnacentral:lncRNA from 1 species